GGCAUCACAUGGGAGUCUUGUGAAAUAUUGGUCUCUCUUAACUUAUCUCUUAUUGAGUUGGACCUGAGUUACAACAGACUGAAGGAUUAUGGAGUGAAGCUGCUUGCUGCUGGAUUGUUGAGCCUACACUGUAAACUGGAGAAACUGAGGCUGAAUCGAUGUUGUCUGACAGAAGACUGUUGUGAAGAGUUGGCCUCAGCUCUCAGCUCAACCUCCUCUCACCUGAGAGAGCUGGACCUGAGUCACAAUGACCUGCAGGAUUCAGGAGUGAAGUUGCUCUCUGCUGGACUAAGGCAUCAAAACUGUAGACUAGAGAUACUGAGGCUGUUAUUCUGUAAAGUCACAGAGGAAGGCUGUGCUGUUCUGGCUUCAGCUCUGUGAUCAAACCCCUCCCACCUGAGAGAGUUGGACCUGAGCUUCAAUCACCCAGGAGACACAGGUGUGAAGCUGCUUUCUGCUAAACUGGAUGAGGCCCAUUGUAAUCUCAAUGUGGACCAUACUGAAGAGAUCUGGAUAGAACCACAGCUGCUUAAGAAGUAUGCCUGUGAGCCCACUCUAGACCUAAACACAGCAAGCAGACUCCUAUCUCUGUCUCAAGGAAACUGACCACCCCGAGAGAUUUGACUGUCCACAGGUGCUGUGUACAGAUGGUCUGAGUGGGCGCCAUUACUGGCGGGCAGAGGGGAGUGGGCACUUGACUGUCAUAGGAGUGGCAUAUAAAGGAAUCAGCAGAAAAGGAAAUGGACGUGUCUGUAAGCUUGGAUCCAAUGACAAUUCCUGGUGUCUUGCUCUAAGUACCAUGACUCUGCCGACUACAAUAAUGAAACCACUAAAAUAACCUCCCCCCAAAACUAUCUGAGCAAAACAAGAGAGUAGGAGUUUUUUUGGACCAUCCUGCUAGAACUGUCUCCUUCUAUGAGGUCUCCUCUGACACAAUGACCCACCUUUACACUUUUCAGACCACAUUCACUGAGCCGCUCUAUCAAGCGUUUGGAAUCCAGAGUACAAACUUCUCAGUGUCUUUUGGGGUUGCCAGUAAUCCUGUAGAGGCUAAGAGGCCAUCAGUGGAAGAAUUUCAAGAAUUGGGUGGUAUUUCCUUAAUUGGAGGAUUUCUUCAUAAAGAUCUUUUCCAUUACAGAAACUGAAGAAGCACAAAUGUUUCACUAUUGCUAAUUUGACACAAUGAUUGUGGUAGAUGUUUCAAUCGUAAGAUGACCCUGAAGAAAUCACAACAGCAUUCAAGAGAGGGAAAAAUGUUUGCAUUGUGAAUUUGAAUUUUAGUUUUCUUGCAAGUGCAAAAACAACACCACUACAGCACAGAGAAAGAGGAUAAAAACAUGAAAGUCAACAUGUGAAAAUGUGUCGAUUACAACAAGAUUUAAGAGUACGUUAAACCUUACAGCUUUAGGAAAAUACCACCUACGGCACAUAGUAGCUAUUGUAGGGCACAGCUGGAUUGAAUAGGCAUACGUUUCAGGUAUAAAUGA